GCCACUGCCAGGUUGGCUUCGAGCUCAUCAACAGCACCGUGUGCCAAGAUGUGAACGAGUGCCUAAACAGUGAGACCUGCAGCCCCAAUGGUGAGUGUCUCAACAGUCACGGAUCCUACUUCUGCAUUUGUGCUCCUGGCUUCUCAAACGCGGCUGGCGGACCCAGCUGCCAAGAUGUGGAUGAAUGUGCAGACAAGUCCCGAUGCUCAGAAGGCCAGUGCCUGAACACAGAAGGUUCCUACAGGUGUCUGUGUGAAAAUGGGUUCAAACACUCCCAGGAGACUGAUGACUGCGUGGAUGUGGAUGAGUGUAAAGAAUAUGG